rnacentral:rRNA from 1 species
UAAAGAGGGUGCGAGCGUUAAUCGGAAUUACUGGGCGUAAAGCGUGCGUAGGCGGUCGUGUAAGUCGGGUGUGAAAGCCCCGAGCUCAACCUGGGAAUUGCAUUCGAGACUGGACGGCUGGAGUUCGGAAGAGGGAAGUGGAAUUUCCGGUGUAGAGGUGAAAUGCGUAGAUAUCGGAAGGAACAUCAGUGGCGAAAGCGGCUUACUGGUCCAUCACUGACGCUCAGGCACGAAAGCGUGGGGAGCAAACAGG